CCUACGGGAGGCAGCAGUGAGGAAUAUUGGUCAAUGGGCGAGAGCCUGAACCAGCCAAGUCGCGUGAAGGAUGACGGCCCUACGGGUUGUAAACUUCUUUUGUCAGGGAGCAAUUUGGUCCACGCGUGGGCUUAGCGAGAGUACCUGCAGACAAAGCAUCGGCUAACUCCGUGCCAGCAGCCGCGGUAAUACGGAGGAUGCGAGGGUUAUCCGGAUUUAUUGGGUUUAAAGGGUGCGUAGGCGUAAGAUCAAGUCAGCGGUAAAAAUUCGGGGCUCAACCCCGUCGUGCCGUUGAAACUGGGGGCCUGGAGUGGGCGAGAAGAAGGCGGAAUGCGUGGUGUAGCGGUGAAAUGCAUAGAGAUCACGCAGAACCCCGAUUGCGAAGGCAGCCUUCCGGCGCCCGACUGACGCUGAGGCACGAAAGUGCGGGGAUCGAACAGGAUUAGAUACCCCAGUAGUC
rnacentral:rRNA from 1 species